ensembl:lncRNA
UUUCCCAGGCCAUAGCAGAGGGCUGAAUCAGAAAAGGAGCAGCCGGGAGAAAAGGAGCAGCCGGGACUCGAAGCGGCGCCCGGACUCGAAGCGGCGCCCGUAUGGGAUGCCUGCCCUUCAGGCCGGGGCUUUAAGCCGCUGCACCACAGCGCCGGCCCCAUCAACUCACUCUUUCAACACACGGUUUUCAAAGAGAAAGAUUGUGUCUGUGUCUCCAGACAAGAAAUGCACUCUACGCUAGGGUUUUCCAAGAAAAGGAAAAUAGGAGAAAAUACAGAGAGACUAAGAAAUGCAUGGAAAUAGGAGUCAAAAACUGAGCUCAUUCUGGGGCAAAAAGAAUGUUUUGGAACGCCAUGCAUAACUUUUUCUUCCUACCUAUUUUCCCAGGAACUUUCUGAAGACCCCUCAUCUGCAUAGGUGGAUUCCAAACAGUUUUUGCCCAAGUCAAUGUUUUAAAAUCCAUUUCCAUGAACUUUUCUAGUAGCCUUGCGUCACAUGGACAUUUAAAAUAUCUGAACAGUGCAACUCGGAAGCAAGUGGAAAACACAAGCCAAAGACUGGAAGGUUUUCUGUGCCAGCAACACCAGAGUUUCCGGGAGACCCCACUGGCUGCCGUGUUAACAGUAUGACAGUCACGGGCAUCCCAAAGGAUGGGAGAGACGACGGACACUCGCUCACUGCUGGCGGGAGCCCUGCAGCAAACUGUGCUCCUGUUUGCUCCAUUGCCAGAAGCCAGCGAUCCCGCCAACGGCCAAGCCGGUGCCGGCAUGGCUUGGCCUACCACCAAGCAAGCCCUGCACAGCCAACCUCUCGCCCACCCGCCUCGGCCACUUGCUCACUCGACAUCAGGACGCGGACCGGCAGUAUUUCCGAAGCUGCUGCUUCUCCAGCGUCUGCGCUUGUCUGCCCCUUGCCGCCCGCACGCCUGGCUAAAGGAUGGCUCCUUUAGAGAAGGAAGCCAACUUGGCAUGGACUGGGAAAAUUUGGCCCUUGAAGUCUGGGGGUUCAGAUAUCUGCUAGUCGUCGGGCUCGUCGUCAUCGAACAAGCCGUACAUGCGCACCAGCUCCCCGAUGUCAUGGGGCAACGAAGCCCAGGGCGCUGAGGAGUCCAGAUGGAUAUUUUGCAGAUCGGCGGGCAGCGGGUCUUCGGCAGCCUCGGGGCCAUGCGCCUGGGAGCUCUCAGGGCCGUGAUCUUCCUGCGAAGGUGUGCUGAGCUCUGAACCUGGUGGUGGUGGGGACUCGCCGGGCUGGCGGGGCUGGCCCUUUCGCUGCAGUUUUCUUUGCUGGGCGCGCUGAUUUUUAAACCAGGUCUGGGGAGGAAGGGAGGGAACAGGUUACUCCAGGGGCAAGGACCCCAGGGAGACCCCAUGGGCCUCAGAAGCUCGGGGCCCUUGUGGCGUGGGCACGCUGGGCUCAAGCCUCUUUCUCAAAUGCUGUGCAGGGCCCGGGAGGGAGCCGCAGGCAUCAGGUAAAGGGGAGGGGGCCGGGCAGCCUCUGCCCUGCUCCCAAGCGAUCCUCCGCUGCAGACCUAGAACUUUGCGCGCUAGGCUUUGCACCACAAAGGCUCACGUUCUGGGAGCUCGGUCUCUAAGGACACAGUACUGAGAGGUGCGGAGACCCUCGGAGGGGAGGCCUGGUGGGGUCAUUUGGCCAUGGGGUCUAAGCCGCCUCAAACUCUUUCAAAUAAAUAAUAAAUAAAUCUUAAAAAAGAAAUUCUG